rnacentral:lncRNA from 1 species
UGAUAUGUUAAAUGUUGCCAAUAUUCCAUUUAAUAUUAAGCAAUUACAUAACAGCUUUUUUAAAUGCCUAAGUUAAAACCGAUGCAUUCAUAUUGAGUACACUGCUACUUGUAAGGUCCAUUCUCCUGCUGAUCUUCAACAAACACCAUUUAAGUGCCAACCUACUAUUACAAGAGUUUACUAUUUUAUUCUUGCUCCAAAAUGGCAUCAACAGUGAUGGGGGGCUUUCAGGGGAUUGCUGAACAGAAUUUUUGCAACAAAGGGUAAGCUUGAGGAAAUGCAAAAUAUCAACUGUAGGCAUUGCAAUGCUUUAUCUCAGCACUCCUCAACUCUACACACCCCCUAAUCAAACAAGCAGCUUUAUGGCAUGCGCAAUUGCAACUGAAGUAUAACCGACUUCCGCAGAACUGGCUUCCACAGGAUUUCCUGUCCAAAAAUUACCGUGUGGUCAUCUGUAGCCAAAUGCUUACAGAUCAUUAAAGUUGACAAGACACUCCUAGCCCUUUUUUUUUUCUUUUUUCUUUUUUCUUUUUUUCUUUCUUCUCUCUCUCUCUCUCUCUCUCACUUUUUUUUUUUUUCAAGGAGACAAAAAUGACCAAACCCUGUCCUUGGCAAAUUCUCUCUGGACUUCUUUCAUUCCCAUUCUUUGCCCUGGGUAGGAAGGGAAAAACAAAAACAAGCAAACAAAAACCCUCCCUUUGGAAUAUCUGUUUGUUCAAGGUGUCAUUUUCCCUGGGAGGUUAUUUACCGAUUUCUUACUGCUUAGCUUGUCGUGCCUGGUAAUGACUUACUGAAGGAAAUCGGCUCUUCUGGACGAGCUGUUCCUUUAACCCCUUUGGCUCACUCUUCCUUGGAGGCGAGCAAGGGCGUGCUGCAGUGUCUGGGAACCCACCUAGAGGGCCCCCUUGACGCCAGCACAUCCCCUGUCAGGCAGCAGUGUCUGCAGCCAGAGCGGGCUGCUGCAGAGUUAACGUACAGUACCCCGGAGCCUGCAAGUGUCCUGAGCUGCUCAGAGCCCAGGACAGACAGACGAGGCGGCUGCGACGAUUCCAAAGGUUUUGCUGGAAAUUCGGAGCUGGGAGACCCCAGCAGGAGCCUGUUGCCUUUGUGUUUCAAAAGCAUGCAAGCCCCUCUGCCCAGGUCUUUGUCCGACGUGUCUCAGAAGGCAGCGCUGCGUUAA